rnacentral:rRNA from 1 species
AUUGAACGCUGGCGGCAGGCCUAACACAUGCAAGUCGAACGGUAACAGGAAGAAGCUUGCUUCUUUGCUGACGAGUGGCGGACGGGUGAGUAAUGUCUGGGAAACUGCCUGAUGGAGGGGGAUAACUACUGGAAACGGUAGCUAAUACCGCAUAACGUCGCAAGACCAAAGAGGGGGACCUUCGGACCUCUUGCCAUCGGAUGUGCCCAGAUGGGAUUAGCUAGUAGGUGGGGUAACGGCUCACCUAGGUGACGAUCCCUACCUGGUCUGAGAGGAUGACCAGCCACACUGGAACUGAGACACGGUCAAGACUCCUACGGGAGGCAGCAGUGGGGAAUAUUGCGCAGAGGGCGGAAGCCUGAUGCAGCCAGGCCGCGUGUAUGAAGAAGGCCUUCGGGUUGUAAAGUACUUUCAGCGGGGAGGAAGGGAGUAAAGUUAAUACCUUUGCUCAUUGACGUUACCCGCAGAAGAAGCACCGGCUAACUACGUG